UUUCCGUAGGUGAACCUGCGGAAGGAUCAUUAACACUACUUGUUUGAAAAAACAAAAAGUUAUCACCCAAACGUGCUCUUUUUCUUUUUCACACCUAUAACCCCAAAAAUUUUAAUUGUAACCAAUGACUGACAUUGCGAAAGCAUUUGUGCUUUUGUUAAUAUGUUUUUUCGAAAACUUAUUUCAAACCAAAACACAACUCUUGACAAUGGAUAUCUUGGCUCUC
rnacentral:misc_RNA from 1 species